GUUUUUGCUUUUUUAGAUGUUAUCCCAUGUAUUCAUCCUGUGGCAAGAAAAUUCAAAGAACUAGUCCUGGUUCUUAGGAAUUAGUGGCUUGUGGUUUUUUUGUUGGCCUCUGCUUUCUUCGUAGGUGGUUCUUAGCCCUGUGAAAAUGGCUUCUGUAUACGUUGCAUUGGGGUUUUUUUUCCAGCUUCCGUUGUAGGCUUUUUUUAAAAAGGCUAAAUACUUAAUAAAGCACAUGAAAUACUUUAAUUAUGACUAGUUUUUUUAUGACUUUAAUUUUUUAUGACUUUAUUAUGACUUUAAUUAUCAACUCUUAAGUCUCCCCCUUCAGAUGACUAUUAACCUGUCCUGACAAACAAGAUGAAAUGGAAGAGGAGUUUGAAAGAUAUCAAUACCCCAAAUCUAUCAAUACCCCAAAUCUAUCAGACAGCCAAAGUCAAAAUCAUAGGCAAAUCUAGUCCUAUUCGAUUGAAUGGACCUACUCCCAUUAGAGAGAAUGGGAGAGAAUGUCUUACAACUCAUUAUUAAAUCAUCUGCAGAGCACCUUCUCAGAGGUGGAACCCAGGCACUGGAAUGGAUGUCAGGUCCCACAGAAUUAAAUCUGUUCUGCAAACACUAAAGAUCCCAACUGGAGCAGCAUGACAUUGAAAGCAUCACAUUUAUGGUGCUUGAUACAGAGAAGCAGAUCUCUCUCAACAAGUGAAUUCCAGUUGCCCAUCAUGGAACAGAAUUCUGGGAGUAGAGUUUUGCAGGGUGGACCCACUUCUGUAAUCAGUGAAUUCCAAGUACUUUUUUCAAUAGAUUCUUCUAGAAAUAUUAAUGGGACUAUAGAAGAUGGCAUUAGAGACACCAGUCAUAGCGGAAGGACCAAAGAACGCUCCCGUAAUGAAGCAUCAACCUUCUUUAAUAAUUGGUAAUUAUGUCAUUAGCUGACCAAUUGUGUCAAUGAAUCUACAAAUGUUUCUGGCUGCAAACCAUUUUUCGUAAUUUGUAUCAGCAUGUCAGUGUAUCUGCUUCUCUCAGUUUUUCUCUGUUUCUGCUUUUACUGUAUAUUUCUCAUGUACAGAUAGGCAUGCUUUCUGAGGGAUGGGUCCAAAACACAGAAUGAUCGGGGGAGAUUAUGGAAGGGGAGGCUGCAGGAAACAGGGUGAGAUUGAGCUUUCAUGAAUGUUAAGCCCUACGCCCACUGAAAGGAAAUGAGCAGGGCUGGCUUGUAUAAAGCAAAGUAAAUGCAGCUAGGCAGCCUCCCCAAUCCCAUUAAAGCGAGCUUUUUCAUUUCAGCCUUUAAUGCUUGGCUUCCUGGGGUCAAAUCCUAAACACUUCACAUACUUUGUACAGAAAGCAAUGGAAAGCCAGUCACUUCCUGGAAGAACAGUCAUUUUAAAACAACCUAACACAUCGUCAGUGGCCUGUUAAUUCAGAUUUGAGAAAGAUGAAACACUGCUUCUCCUUCUCCAAACUAGCAAAAAACAGAUUUGUUUGUCUAUACCUUCAGAACACUUCUGCAGUGCCCCUUGGUAAGAAAAUCCAGGAGUUGUAGACCAAAAAAAAACGUUAUCGGCAUAGUCACCGGUGGUUCAGCUGAUCCCAAACCCAUCUAUAGUCAGCCAAGGGAUCUCAUCAGCAACCAGCAAAGCUCUGGUUGUUCACACUCUUCACUAGUGAGCGUGGGCUUUUUCAGUCCAUGGGACUGGUCUCUCUGCUUUGCUCCAUGGGAAACCGUACCUGACAAAUCAACAAACUGAUUUUUCUAAUGUUUUCCUAUUGUUUCAUAGUGUGCCUUUAAAUUUUAAAAAGCUUUUGUUUUCACUGUUUUUCUACCUUUAAAAAAUGUCUGGAACUGGUAUGUAUAUUUAAAAAACAAAACAAAAACUGCUUUAGUGGAAAAGCAGUUUGUAAAUGCUGCAAUAAACACAGUACAGUUCUAUGCCUAUGUAGGUAU
ensembl:lncRNA